CCUACGGGAGGCAGCAGUGGGGAAUAUUGGACAAUGGGGGGAACCCUGAUCCAGCCAUGCCGCGUGUGUGAAGAAGGCCCUCGGGUUGUAAAGCACUUUCAGUGAGGAAGAACGCCUGGUGGUUAAUACCCAUCAGGAAAGACAUCACUCACAGAAGAAGCACCGGCUAACUCCGUGCCAGCAGCCGCGGUAAUACGGAGGGUGCGAGCGUUAAUCGGAAUUACUGGGCGUAAAGCGCGCGUAGGUGGCUUGAUAAGCCGGUUGUGAAAGCCCCGGGCUGAACCUGGGAACGGCAUCCGGAACUGUCAAGCUAGAGUGCAGGAGAGGAAGGUAGAAUUCCCGGUGUAGCGGUGAAAUGCGUAGAGAUCGGGAGGAAUACCAGUGGCGAAGGCGGCCUUCUGGACUGACACUGACACUGAGGUGCGAAAGCGUGGGUAGCAAACAGGAUUAGAUACCCUAGUAGUC
rnacentral:rRNA from 1 species